rnacentral:rRNA from 1 species
CAGGCUAUCGUCGUCGUGUCGGGUUUUAAGGAGUUAGAUCGAACUGACGGCCGGUGGAGGACCUAGUUAGGAGAGCGAGUAGCAGGAGGUCGAACGGCUGGCACCGCCUCCAGGUCUAGGCCACGGGUGGACCCUUUCAUGCCGGUCAUCUCCACGACAAGGUCGAGGACCAGCAGAGCAGCGGCGGCCACGAUGAGGCCGCCUAGAGCGGGACAAGGUUCGGUGCUGGAACACGCUUGUUCGUGAAGUCCUAUGAGACGAGGCCGCCAAUCUCCAGCUGGAGCGGGGCAUGAAGAAGGAUGGGGUUGGGCGGUAAGAGGUGUGCAACGCGGGAUGAGGACACGCCGAUCGAGCCGGUGGGUGGCUGCGGUCUCUUCUUUAGAACCCAGAAUUCUAGCCUCGAACAGCUGAUCACGAUCCGAGCCGGAGGCAACAAGACGACAACGUAGAGUUAGACUUUACGUCCCUUCAUCAUAAAAUGUAUACAGUACCGGAUGACCUCACAGGCUUGUUAUCGACAACUCGAGAAAAGUCGUUUUUUUUUUCCAAACACAAGCAGACAAAGAAUCCAGUCAACACCGUUUACCGCAUGUUUCGACCGUAUUACUAAAGGAAAGAAGAGUUAUAUACUACAAACUAUAUACAAAGAUUGUCUGUGUAUAAAUAAACCACACGAAUUGAUCUACCUAACUUGACUACUUCAAAUAUAUCUCGGCGGAACUCUUUUUUUUCAAAUAUAUCUCAGGUACCUCCAACAGUAGAUAAGGUCGUCUACUUCCAGCUAAUCGUUCAGUGAUGUUUUCCUUCCGUUCUAGUAUCUAGAAAAGACAGUAGGUAGUUAGGAAUUAUGAACCAAAAGGACCUUUACAUCAUUUUUGCUAGAUACAUACGGAGAACACAACACAAGAGUACAUGAACUUAUGAGUUUACGAACAACUCUAUAUUACAUGGUAGUCAGGAAUUAUGCGCCAGAUGGACCCUUACAUGAUGUUUUCUAGACACAUACGGAAAACACAACACAAGAGUACAUGAUAUGAGACAACUCGCCCGUGAAGC